rnacentral:rRNA from 1 species
GACGUAGGUGGCGAACGUUAUCCGGAAUUAUUGGGCGUAAAGGGUGCGUAGAUGGCCUGAUAAGUUAGCAGUGGGAAAUCGAGGCUCAACCUCGUGGAAGCUGGUAAUACUGUCAGGCUCGAGUGCAGGAGAGGUUAACGGAACUCCAUGUGGAGCGGUAAAAUGUGCAGAUAUAUGGAAGAACACCAAUAACGGCGAAGGCAGUUAACUAUUCUGUUACUGACAUUGAGGCACGAAAGCGUGGGGAGCAAAACGG